rnacentral:lncRNA from 1 species
GAGCACAGGGACAGGACGGGGUUGCUGGAGCAGGUGCAAGCUGGGAGAAAGCAGAGAACUGACUCCAUGCAGAGUUGGGAUUAAGAGCCCCUGGACAAGGGGCCAAGGCAGUGAAGGACGUCCAUCACUCAUCUGCCACUAUCCUCCUCACAUUUAAUCCUCACAACACCCCUGUGAGGUUUAUCCGCUUCACCUGUUGCUGGGGAACACUGCUCUCCGGGGGACUUGGGGGACGACACUGUAAACAUGACUUCCUGGCCUGAUGGUGGCAGGGCUGUGUGUGCGAGUCACUGUCCAGGGACAGCACUGAGACCACGGUGACAUCGAGGAUGCCGCUGGGAGCUGUCACUGCAGGAAGGUUGGUGGGGAGGGAAGUCAUGUCACACCCAAGCAUCAGGGGAGACCCCCUGCCAGGUCAGGACCCUGAAGUCCAGGUCAAGAAUCUUCUACCUUGCUACGGUCCCCUGUGUUACCCUCCUGUGGUGAGAAGCGUGGGUGACAUGCCUCUUCCAAGUUGGACAGCUGCCCGCCAUGACUCCAACAAAUGUGGAGAUGACAAGUUGGCCAUCUAGCUCAAGCCAAGUGGACGCAGAAGCAAGCAACCGGGAAACUGACAAGACUCACACUAACUGGGCUUCUGGCAAGGACCCCGCAGUCUGCCUGGGGUUUGCACAGGGCAGUGAUCCCAGCAGGGCAGUGAGGAGUGUCACGUAUACCACGUGGGCACACCUCAAACAACAUUCUAGAAAGAACGCCCAGGCUAGAGUGCAGUGGCAUGAUCACGGCUCACUGCAGCUCCCACCUCCUGUGCUCAAGAGAUCCUCCCACCUCAGCCUCCUGAGUAGCUGGGACCACAGGCGCACGCCACGACGCCCAGCUAAUUUUUAAAUUUUUUGUCUUGCUCUGUCACCCAGGCUGGUCUUGAACUUCUAGCCUGGAGUGAUCCUCCUGCCUCAGCCUCUCAAAUUGCUGGGAUUACAGGCCUGAGAUUACGGGCCUAGAAGGAUCUCCAUGAACUCUAGACAGGGUCUCUGCCUCCCUCAUCCUAGUGAGGUCCUCCCAACACGGAAUGAGCAGGAGCCGGAUAGGUGUGGCCUAAGUCCUCUCAUCCCCGUGUGGGAGCAGCUGUGGUCUUUUGGGGGCUCUCCCCUCCUCUCUCCCCAUGUCUGGACACACUCCCCGGCGGGGCAGGAGCUGGCCCCACCCCGCACUCUGUGCACAUCUUCCUCCCACAGCGCUCGCACAGGGCCAGGUGCCCUGAGGCCCUCGGUGACAGCCACCCUCUGUGUGAUGUCCCUUCUGGUGCGCCCUGGCCCCACACUCACCAUCGCCCUCCUUCUCGCCCUCACUCUCCUGGUCGCCUUCAUAGCCAGAGCAGCAGUCCAGGCUCCAGUCGAGGAAGCUGCCCAGCAGCGUCUCCUCCUGGCUGGACAGCUCCGCAGUGGGGGUGGUAACGAAGCUGCCCCUGUCUUCCUGGAGGCUGUUCUCCCGCUUCCUGUAAGGUGGAGAGCCCAGGAGACCCAGUCAUGGACGGCGGCACUGGGAGGCCAGGCCCGCCACACCUGCCUCUAACACCCGCAUGCCCCAGCCUGUCACCACAUGCUCCCAAAGGGUCUGCUGCGAAGAAAAUGCCGGUAAAGCUAGAACAGGUAUAAGCCCUUUAGGCAGGGCCAACCUGGAGGACCCCGCUCAGGCAAACUCAGGCCCCAGGUCUGGGUGUGAAGCCCAGCCCACUUGGCUCAGCUGUGGGGCGUGGGCCAACCAUCUGGUCCCCUGGAAACCCCUAGGAUGAUGCCACCUUCCACUGUUUUUUUUUUUUUUUUUUCAGGUGGUCUUGCUCUGUCACCCAGGCUAAAGUACAGUGGUGUGAUCUUGGCUCACUGCAACCUCCACCUCCCAGGUUCAAGUGAGUCUCCUGCCUCAGGCUCCUGAGUAGCUGGGACUACAGAUGCCCGCCAUCACACCCAGCUAAUUUUUAUAUUUUUAGUAGAGAUGGGGUUUCACCAUGAUGGCCAGGUUGGUCUCGAACUCCUAACCUCAGGUGAUCCACCCACCUCAGCCUCCCAAAGUGCUGGGAUUACAGGCAUGAGCCACUGCGCCCAGCCCCUCUGGUGUUGAUUAAUAAGGUGCAGGCAGUGCUUAGCCCGGCGCCAGGCAGAUUGCAUGGAAUGGCCUGGCCUUGGGCGGUGCUGACACCCACACCCAAGUGGGGUCAAAUCUUGCUCAGGAUGGGGCUGGAGGCCAGUGUGUGGGCCUCAGCCUGCGAAAAGCCACCACACCAGCUGAGCCUUUCCACUUCCUGACCCCAGGGCCUGGUGGAGGAGGGGGGUGGAGACAGCUACCCCAGUGUCACCCCUGGGGGUCUGUUUCAGAAGACUGAUGGGGCUGUGGGGGGCCUCUGAGAAGCGGGUUUAACACAGCGAGGCUGAGCACAGGGCCAGGCCCCCUCCUGGAGUAGCCGUGCGUAUCUGCAUGGACUUUCCUCCUGAUGACCCUGGCCCCAGGGAGUCGGCGCAUGUGUGGAGUGACACAGGAGGGUCAGGUCUCCUGCCUUCCACACAAUGGAAAGUGCUGUCAUGCUUCUUGGGGAGGAAGCAGCAGCAGGGGCUUCGGCUGCUUCCCCAGGGCUCCCCAGGAGUUGCGGUCUCCUGCCAGGAGCCCACUCCCGACACAACGCUCCUGGAGGCAGCCCUGCCUGGUCCUAUAUUGACAGGAAAGACCCAGCCACCCAGUGCCCGCCCUUGGGAAGGUUACGGGUGCACACGGUGCUGAGCAGUCACGGCGCAGGGCCAGCAGCACGGGGAGGGCCCUGUUCAUCGGGGCCUUGUGGAAUCAGUAGGAGUUCUCCAGGCGGGUGAGGUAGAAAGAGGAAGUUAACUCCAGGAGGAACAGCCAAGGUGCUGAGAUAGGAGAGGCAGGUAAACAGGUCCACACGGGUGGCGAGGGAAGUGCUGGGGAUGUGACUCAGGUCACAACUCGAGUGCCGGGAGUGACAGCAGCAUCAUGGAGCAGAGAAGUCCAGGACGCGCAUGACAGGCACGGGCAGGGCUAGAGCCAGGCUGGGCUCCCGCGUGCUCGAAACCAUCUUCCUCCACAGGGAGCCCAGUCAGAGCGAGAGGCAAUAGCCUCUGAGGAAGGAGACCUGGGCUGGAGACAGUGGAGGUUACGCAGGGGCCCGAGGCAUGACUGCAGGGCUCCGUCCCAGGGUCACUGUCCUGGGAUCUGCUGCUCCCCUGACAAGCCUUGGGGGCCUCUCUGUGUGAGGAAGCGCUGAGGGAACUGGGCCGGCACGAGGAUGCCAGCAUUGUAUGGCGCAGCCAGAACGCAGGGUAACUAACCGUUUGGUUCUUCGCCCCGAGGGAGAGCUGAGGAAGGCGUGGAUCUCCCCUGUGCUGAGGAAAGUCGGGGGGUCGGGGCUGUCUUGUGUCACUCCUAAUGCAGCACACAACUGGCUGUAGCUCAGCACCUGAGGGGAAGCCAGAGUUAGGGGGUGCAGAGGCCCCGAGGGUGAGGCCCACCCACACCCCAGCACCCCAUGAGAUGCCCAGGUGGCGGGAGGGAGGCACCUCUUCCUGGCUGAUUUCUCCGUAGCGCUUGUCCUCAAACCGCUGCUUCACGGCGGUCAGAGAGACUUGCCUGUAGUCCUUGGGGGCGUCAUCGUGGAAGCUGGAAACAGAGUCACGUGGAGUGGACAUGUGAGGCACCCCCACCCCAUUUUUAGCUUCAGUUCACUGAAGUGAGCAAUGAGAAUGCAAAAUGGUGCAGUCACUCUGGAAUCUGACCUGGCAGUUCCCAGAAUGGUUAAACUCAGUCACCACAGGACCUAGCAAUUCCUCUCUAGGUAAAGACCCAGGAAAAAGGAAAAACUAUGUCCACACAGAAACCUGUACUAGAAUGUUCAUGGCAGGACUGUUCACAAUAGGCAAAAUGUCCACCAGCUGCGGGAUGGAUAAACACAUGUGGUCCAUGCAGGGGACUAUUAUUCAGCCAUGAAAAGGAACAAAGCAGGGACACAUGCCACAUGGACAAACCCAGCAAACGUUACAGCGAGGGAAAUCACCUAGACACAAAAGGCCACUUGUCCGAUGACGCCAUUUAUAUGGAAUGUCCAGAAUGGGAAAAAUCCAUGGACUGAAAGUAGACUACUGGGGGUCAUCUAGCGCUGAGGAAGUUGGGGGGAACGGGAGGGUGACAGCUGAGGGGUGUGUUGUCCCUUUGAGGAAAGUGAAAAUGUCGUCAAUUUGAUUGUUGUGAUGACAAGCACAACUGUGUGAAUACAAGCC